rnacentral:rRNA from 1 species
AACUAACGCUGGCGGCGUGCCUAACACAUGCAAGUCGUACGAGAAAGCCGGCUUCGGCUGGUGAGUAAAGUGGCGCACGGGUGAGUAACGCGUGGAUAAUCUGCCCUUAAGUGUGGAAUAACGUACCGAAAGGUGCGCUAAUACCGCAUAAUGCCUGGCAACACAAGUUGUCCGGCCAAAGAAGGCCUCUGUUUACAAGCUUUCGCUUCAGGAUGAGUCCGCGUACCAUUAGCUUGUUGGUGGGGUAAUGGCCUACCAAGGCUGCGAUGGUUAGCUGGUCUGAGAGGAUGAUCAGCCACACUGGAACUGAGACACGGUCCAGACUCCUACGGGGAGGCAGCAGUGAGGAAUAUUGCGCAAUGGGGGCAACCCUGACGCAGCAACGCCGCGUGAGUGAGGAAGGUUUUCGGACUGUAAAGCGUCUGUCGAGCGGGAAGAAGUGUACCAUGGCUAAUAUCCAUGAUAUUUGACGGUACCGCUAGAGG